rnacentral:rRNA from 1 species
AGUGAACGCUGGCGGUAGGCCUAACACAUGCCAGUCGAACGGCAGCACAGUAAGAGCUUGCUCUUACGGGUGGCGAGUGGCGGACGGGUGAGGAAUACAUCGGAAUCUACUUUUUCGUGGGGGAUAACGUAGGGAAACUUACGCUAAUACCGCAUACGACCUACGGGUGAAAGCAGGGGAUCUUCGGACCUUGCGCGAUUGAAUGAGCCGAUGUCGGAUUAGCUAGUUGGCGGGGUAAAGGCCCACCAAGGCGACGAUCCGUAGCUGGUCUGAGAGGAUGAUCAGCCACACUGGAACUGAGACACGGUCCAGACUCCUACGGGAGGCAGCAGUGGGGAAUAUUGGACAAUGGGCGCAAGCCUGAUCCAGCCAUACCGCGUGGGUGAAGAAGGCCUUCGGGUUGUAAAGCCCUUUUGUUGGGAAAGAAAAGCAGCAGGUUAAUACCCCGCUGUUCUGACGGUAACCAAAGAAUAAGCACCGGCUAACUUCGUG